rnacentral:rRNA from 1 species
GACACGCUGGCGGCGUGCCUAACACAUGCAAGUCGAACGCGUCUGUGCUUCGGCACAGAUGAGUGGCGAACGGGUGAGUAACGCGUGAGUAACUCCCCUUGGGGAGGGGGAUAACCAUCUGAAAAGGUGGCUAAUACCCCAUAUUCUCUUUUCUCAUAAGAGGAAGGAGGAAAGGUGGCGCAAGCUGCCACCCCGAGAGAGGCUCGCGUCCCAUCAGCUAGUUGGUAGGGUAAUGGCCUACCAAGGCUAUGACGGGUAGCUGGUCUGAGAGGAUGGUCAGCCACACUGGGACUGAGACACGGCCCAGACUCCUACGGGAGGCAGCAGUGAGGAAUCUUGGGCAAUGGGCGAAAGCCUGACCCAGCGACGCCGCGUGGAGGAAGAAGGCCUUCGGGUCGUAAACUCCUGUUUGGGGAGAAGAACAAGAGAGAAGUUAAUAGCUUCUCUCUCUGACGGUAUCCCCGGAGAAAGCUCCGGCUAAUUACGUG